UAUAACUGAUCUCAGAGUGAGGAUGGACCUU
rnacentral:piRNA from 1 species